rnacentral:rRNA from 1 species
GACUACUAGGGUAUCUAAUCCUGUUUGCUACCCACGCUUUCGUACCUCAGCGUCAGUUUGAGUCCAGAGAGGCGCCUUCGCCACUGGUGUUCCUUCAGAUCUCUACGCAUUUCACCGCUACACCUGAAAUUCCCCUCUCCUCUACUCAACUCUAGUUACCCAGUAUCAAAUGCAGUUCCCAGGUUAAGCCCGGGGCUUUCACAUCUGACUUAAAUAACCGCCUACGCACGCUUUACGCCCAGUAAUUCCGAUUAACGCUUGCACCCUCCGUAUUACCGCGGCUGCUGGCACGGAGUUAGCCGGUGCUUUUUCUAUCGGUAAUGUCAUACUGCCAGGUAUUAGCUGACAGGUGUUCCUCCCGAUUAAAAGUGCUUUACAACCCUCAGGCCUUCUUCACACACGCGGUAUUGCUGGAUCAGGCUUUCGCCCAUUGUCCAAUAUUCCCCACUGCAGCCCCCCGUAGG